rnacentral:rRNA from 1 species
GUACUACUCUCAGAGUUUGAUCCUGGCUCAGGAUGAACGCUGGCGGCGUGCCUAACACAUGCAAGUCGAACGAACGAUAUUGUUGGAAGUUUUUCGGAUGGAAAUAAUAAAGUUAGUGGCGACGGGUGAGUAACGCGUAAGUAAUCAACCUAGUACACACGGAUAACUAAUAGAAAUGUUAGCUAAUACGAGAUGAACUUAUAUAAUUGGGAAAUAGUAUAAGCAAAGCGAUAGCGGUACUAGACGAGCUUGCGUCUGAUUAGCUAGUUGGUGGGGUAAGAGCCUACCAAGGCGACGAUCAGUAGCCGGCCUGAGAGGGUGAACGGCCACAUUGGGACUGAGACACGGCCCAA